UUGUUCCAAAAUGGUGCUAAGUACGGUGGCCCUGAGGUGCAAAACACAAUGGCAAAGCAGAAAACACAACGACAUUUUCUCUUUUGUGUUUUGUUUUCUAAUUUGCUGUUGUGUUUUGCGCCUCAGGGCCACUGUAGCUACGACAACAUAUCAAAUA